rnacentral:rRNA from 1 species
AGUGAACGCUGGCGGUAGGCCUAACACAUGCAAGUCGAACGGCAGCACAGUAAGAGCGUGCUCUUACGGGUGGCGAGUGGCGGACGUGUGAGGAAUAUAACGGGAUCUACUUUUUCGGGGGGGAUAACGUAGGUAAAGUUACGCUAAUACCGGAGCCGACGUAGGGGUGAAGGGAGGGGAACUUCGGAGCUUGCGGGGUUGAAUUAGCCGAUUUUGGAUUAGUUAGUGGGGGGGGUAAAGGCCCACCAAGGCGACGAUCCGUAGCUGGUCUGAGAGGAUGGUCGCCGACCCUGGAGCGUGGACACCGACCAGACUCCUGCGGGAGGCCGCAGUCGGGAAUAUUGGACAAUGGGCGCGAGCAUGAUCCAGCCAUACCGCGUGGGUGAAGGAGGCCUUCGGGUUGUAAAGCCCUUUUGUUGGGAAAGAAACGCAGCAGGUUGAUACCACGCUGUUGUGACGGUACCCAAAAAAUAAGCACCGGCUAACUUCGUG